GUUAAAACACCGGAUCUCGUACGAUUAUCGAAGCUACGCAACAUCGAGCCUGGUUAGUACCUGGAUGGGUGACCGCUUCGGAAUACCCAGGUGCUGUAAG